CCUACGGGAGGCAGCAGUGAGGAAUAUUGGUCAAUGGGAGAGAUCCUGAACCAGCCAAGCCGCGUGAGGGAAGACGGCCCUAUGGGUUGUAAACCUCUUUUGUCGGAGAACAAAACCCGGGACGUGUCCCGGACUGCGUGUAUCCGAAGAAAAAGCAUCGGCUAACUCCGUGCCAGCAGCCGCGGUAAUACGGAGGAUGCGAGCGUUAUCCGGAUUUAGUGGGUUUAAAGGGUGCGUAGGCGGUCCGUUAAGUCAGCGGUAAAAUUGCGGGGCUCAACCCCGUCGAGCCGUUGAAACUGGCAGACUUGAGUUGGCGAGAAGUACGCGGAAUGCGCGGUGUAGCGGUGAAAUGCAUAGAUAUCGCGCAGAACUCCGAUUGCGAAGGCAGCGUACUGGCGCCAGACUGACGCUGAGGCACGAAAGCGUGGGGAUCGAACAGGAUUAGAUACCCCUGUAGUC
rnacentral:rRNA from 1 species